GGUUAAGCGACUAAGCGUACACGGUGGAUGCCCUGGCAGUCAGAGGCGAUGAAGGGCGUGCUAAUCUGCGAUAAGCGCCGGUAAGGUGAUAUGAACCGUUAUAACCGGCGAUACCCGAAUGGGGAAACCCAGUGUGACUCGUCACACUAUCAUUAACUGAAUCCAUAGGUUAAUGAGGCGAACCGGGGGAACUGAAACAUCUAAGUACCCCGAGGAAAAGAAAUCAACCGAGAUUCCCCCAGUAGCGGCGAGCGAACGGGGAGGAGCCCAGAGCCUGAAUCAGCAUGUGUGUUAGUGGAAGCGUCUGGAAAGACGCGCGAUACAGGGUGACAGCCCCGUACACAAAAGCGUAUGUGCUGUGAGCUCGAUGAGUAGGGCGGGACACGUGGUAUCCUGUCUGAAUAUGGGGGGACCAUCCUCCAAGGCUAAAUACUCCUGACUGACCGAUAGUGAACCAGUACCGUGAGGGAAAGGCGAAAAGAACCCCGGCGAGGGGAGUGAAAAAGAACCUGAAACCGUGUACGUACAAGCAGUGGGAGCACAGGUUUACCUGUGUGACUGCGUACCUUUUGUAUAAUGGGUCAGCGACUUAUAUUCUGUAGCAAGGUUAACCGAAUAGGGGAGCCGGAGGGAAACCGAGUCUUAAUUGGGCGUUAAGUUGCAGGGUAUAGACCCGAAACCCGGUGAUCUAGCCAUGGGCAGGUUGAAGGUUGGGUAACACUAACUGGAGGACCGAACCGACUAAUGUUGAAAAAUUAGCGGAUGACCUGUGGCUGGGGGUGAAAGGCCAAUCAAACCGGGAGAUAGCUGGUUCUCCCCGAAAGCUAUUUAGGUAGCGCCUCGUGAAUUCAUCUCCGGGGGUAGAGCACUGUUUCGGCUAGGGGGUCAUCCCG
rnacentral:rRNA from 1 species